rnacentral:lncRNA from 1 species
GUCACCGGAAAUGGCCGACCAGCCGCGUCACCUCGCUGACGACCUGCUCCUGCGCGCUGAGAUCGCCGUGCUUCUUCCUGCUGUCCAUGGACGUGUACACCUUGUAGAACCCCUCCGCCACCUUGCCGCCGCCGCCGUCGUCGGUGUCCUCGAAACAGUAUGGCUUGUCCACACCCUUGAGGUGGGGGAAACCAUCGAACAGCGCCGGGAUUGCGUCAAUGGUGGUGUAGAUGUGGGUAGUGGCCGUCUUUGGGUCCUUCUCCUCGCGCCACGGCACCGCCUCACGGCUGUCGCCAUUGUCGUCGUCAUCUCAGGAAAAGGGAGAAGGAGGUGCCUUCGUUUGUGGGCUGGCCGCCGGUUGCUCGACGUCGUCCGCGGCGCUGGCGUCGUAGUCGUCGUCCUCCGCCGCCUUGGCCCUCGCCUGUGCCGCGGCCUCCGCCUGCUGGAGUUGCGCGUGGAGCGCCGCUGC